rnacentral:lncRNA from 1 species
GAAACAAUGAAUGCACAUCUCCCGUGCCUUCUUCUCCCCAAGCCACAUUUUAAUUAAAAAAAAUAUUUUACGUGAUAUUUCAGACUUCAUAUAUGUCUAGAAAUAAUUUUAAAGGCUAUCAGCUUAUUAAAAAAUAAAAGGUUUAUGGUACUGCUUCAAUUUUCAACAUUUCUAUGGGGAAAUAUAUUGUAUCCAUGCUCAUCCUAUUGGCCUCACCUGGUCACUUUAUACCAUUUCCUCUCUUAACGAGUUUGCCUUUUGGGCCCUACCAUAGCAGGUGUCAUAAAGCAUGGAAUGUCCAGGAAAAGAGAACUCACCAAACUUGAGAUUUGCCUUCCUCUUGAUAUGCAAGGGACAAGAUUUGUCAGUUGGAGAUGACCAGACAUCACUUACGGUAAUUUGUUCAUGAUCUGAAAUCCUUGCGUAAACAGAGAGUGAUAAAUCAGGGCAAAUAAAUCGGCUGAAACCAACA